rnacentral:lncRNA from 1 species
UAUCUAAACUUAUUUUUGGAGAAAUUUGCUUCUCUUUGAUGGAAGUUUGAUUUUCCCAGAAUAUAUCCUAACUUUUGGCCUAAUUCUUCUUCUGAUGAUCGAUUCAACCUCUUAUAAAAAAGAUAUACCUUGGUUAUUUUUCAUCUCUUCAACAAGUUUAGUAAUGAGCAUAACGGCCCUAUUGUUCCAAUGGAGAUAAGAAUCCAUGAUUAGCUUUUCGGGAAAUUUCCAAACGGGAUGUAAAAAUACAUUGGUAGGGGAGCGUUUCGCCUUAGAAAGAAGCCUCCGCGCGAGCAGUGGUAGACGAAGCGGAAGCGAGAAUGUCGGCUUGAGUAACGCAAAUAUGCAAGCAGAGAACGUAAUUACCUACGACAGGGAACACGGGUAGGGAAAAUGCUGACAGGCUGUG